GUCUCAUUCGGAAUGGAGGGCGAGUGAAUUCGAGAAGCUGCUGCACUGCACUGCACAUGCACCGUACGUGCUGCAGCGCGCCAGGAGUGAAUGCUGCAACUUCCGUCGGUCGCCAAGUCGCCAUGUGUAUACGGUCACUACAACAAAAUAGGUAUGUAGGGACGUUUUUGUGUCGACGCUUUUAUCAACGUCUCAUUAUUUAAAAUCACUUGAUGCAUAGGGACGAUUUCUGAGGCGCAAAGGACAUCGUCCUUGGUUCCCAUAGAAAAAAAGGAUUCUGGUGGUUGAAAAUAUCUUGCGCCACAAGCCCACCACCACCACCCUAAUCCCCCAUCGUGCGAGAUGGCCCAAGAAAGUAACUACCAUGGAAAAAGGGUGCGAUCUCUGGCCUCUAAAACUAGCGCCGCCAUGCCACACCGCCGCUCUCUGCCAAGAUCCUGCUCCUCCUCACCCCAGACUCGCUGUAGCAGGUCCACCCCCUCGCCCGUCGGCCGCCAACAGUAGGCUCGGGGACCCCGGCCUCCAGGCGGUGGCCCAGCCCCACUCCGGCGGCCUCGACCUGCGCUCCGGCACACGAUGCACUCCGGCUGAAAGGGAAGAUGGCGGGUGGCGGAGUGGGCAACGGAACUGGACAUCGCCAUCUCCUCCUAGUGAGAUCGUAGCGAGAUACGACCCGACAGGAAGGUAGAAGAGGAACAAGAUCGACGAGGAGGACGAAAGCUGUUUUAUUUGUUCGCCCACGGCAACAAUGCUAUCAGAGACUUAAUUAGUUUAUAUAAUCUUCGGGGGGAAAUUGUAUGCCCCGGUGACGACUCCUACCCGGCCCUCCAUUUGCUCGCCCGGCAUCCUCUAUCUCUAAGAACCCGAUGUCUUGCGACCAAAAAAAUCCAACAAGCGUCCUCGCCAUGUGAAGCUCGUUUCCAUCAGAGAGAUCAACUCACACAUGCAGUUUCUCACCUGUAGAAACUUUUCUCAAGUUGUCAGAUAAAGAGCACCGUGGAUGGAUAUAUUAUCAUGUUUGUAUGUAUCUAUACUUCAUAUGGGCACAUGAAAUCUACAUGGCAAGAUUGAACUUCUGCAGUGCAUGUUUACUCGAUGUGAAAAUCUUCUAUGUGCGGGAUUUGAAGGCAGUUGCCACAAGGAUAAGCUAGAGAAGCAGAGAAAACAAGGAGCCAUUGUUCCAUUAUCAACAUGUAGAAACUAAAAAUCAUAUAGAUAUGUUUCACCUAGUUUGCGCAUGUAAUUGUUAAUAGGAGAUGUGUACAAUUGAGUUUGUAAACUACUACUACUCUGAGUAAUACAAUGUUAUUAUCUCGUGCCA